rnacentral:lncRNA from 1 species
AGGUUCACGCCAUUCUCCUGCCUCAGCCUCCCGAGUAGCUGGGACUACAGGCACCUGCCACCACGCCCGGCUACUUUUUUUGUAUUUUUAGUAGAGACGGGGUUUCACCGUGUUAGCCAGGAUGGUCUCGAUCUCCUGACCUCGUGAUCUGCCCGCCUCGGCCUCCCAAAGUGCUGGGAUUACAGGCUUAAGCCACUGUGCCUGGCCUAUAAGUUUUUACAUAAAUUAUCUCAUUUUAUCCUCACAACUCUCCAAGAAGGUGGUAGUGCCUGAUUUUACAGAUCAGGCUCAGAGAGGUUUGGAAAUAGGGCAGCUCUGUUUCCAACCCAGGCCUGUCUGCAUAUGGAGCUUAGGCUGGGCCUCACCACCCUGCUUCUCCCAGGGAUGUUUGCCCUCAGCCUUGACCAAAUGGGAGCCCAGGGCAGCCAAGAGAGGCCAGGGGCCACUGUGCCUGGGACACAGAGGCCAGGCCACACAUGGCAGACUGCUGACCCCAGCCAGUUGGCAGUGAUGGGGUCAGGCCCUGGAGCCUGGAACCAGCACCUCCCUUGGCCCUGCUGUCCCGGGUUAUCAGGAGCCUGAAGCCCUCAUCUCCACCCACAGGACCAGCCCAUGGGCUCAUGAGAAUACCUCACCAUGGGACAGCUGGACUUGUACCUUGUCUGGAGCUAGCCCCAGCCUCCCACUCCCUAUUCCGCAGUGAAUGCUAAUGGGGGCAAGGAGUGGAGUGGACAAGGAGCCAUGGGGAGACACAGACAGGGAAAAAUCAGGAUUGUUCUAUUUGCGGGAGAAGCCCCCAGCUCCCCGUGCCAUGGCAGUAGAAAUUUGGCAGGGGCGUCCCCGUCCAUGGGGCCUACUUCACCGUGUACCCGGACUUGGGACCAUCACAGACUUCGGAACCAUCAGGAACCUGGGAGCAACUGAAAGCUGAACUACAGUGGGCUUUCAGACACACAGCAGGCUGGCGGAGCACAAAUAGGACUGGUUCCCUCCAGGCCACCAGCAGGGCGGUGGAGGUCUUCACUGACUCCCUGCCUACCUCUCAGGACAAUGUCCUUUUGGCUCCACAGUCCCUGAAGCCAGAGCUGGUGGGGGCAGGGAGGCAGCCACCAGCCUCUAUAUGUAGUGGAGGAGGGGGUGUCCAGGGAGGGCUGCAUGAUCCUGAGAGCCCCCACCUCACCCGGCUGGACUAUCCUCCCACUUCAGGGUUUCUCUGGGCUUCCAUCUUGCCCCUGCUGAGCCCUGCUUCCUCCUCUACCAGCAGCACAACCCCCAGGCUGGGCUCAGAGACCUCAUGUGGUGGGAUCACUCAGUACCCCGAGGCGGAGGGAAGGAGGGAG